UACGGGGGGGGUAAGCGUUGUUCGGAAUUACUGGGCGUAAAGGGCUCGUAGGCGGCCAACUAAGUCAUACGUGAAAUCCCUCAGCUUAACUGGGGAACUGCGUGUGAUACUGGAUGGCUUGGAUUUGGGAGAGGGAUGCGGAAUUCCAGGUGUAGCGGUGAAAUGCGUAGAUAUGCGGAGGAACACCGAUGGCGAAGGCAAUCCCCUGGACCUGUACUGACGCUCAUGCACGAAAGCGUGGGGAGCAAACAGG
rnacentral:rRNA from 1 species